rnacentral:rRNA from 1 species
GGUCAAGCUACUAAGGGCCCACGGGGGAUGCCUUGGCGUCAAGGGCCGAAGAAGGGCGUGGCAAGACUGCGAUAAGCCUCGGUUAGCCGUUUAGCAGGCUUAACCGGGGAUUCCCGAAUCGGAGAACCGGCGACGGAGAAACCGUCGCAUCCCAUGCUGAACACAUUAGGCAUGGGAUGGUAAGCGGGGGAACUGAAACAUCUAAUUACCCCGAGGAAAAUAAAGCAACCGCGAUUCCCUGAGUAGUGGUGAGCGAAAAGGGAACAGCCCAAACCUAGAGGGCUUAACGGACUGAGGUCCUAUGCCUUUUGGGUGUUGUACGACAUUCCAGCGGAAGCCUCAGCAACCGCACGGAGUUACAAAUCUAAUUUCUAGCUAAAGGUUCCUGGAAGGGACCGCCAUAGAGGGUGAUAGCCCCGUAGGCGAAAGGGAUUAGACUCCGGGUUUGUUCGUGAGUACCACGGGACACGUGGAAUCCUGUGGGAAGCUGGGGGGACCACCCUCCAAGGCUAAAUACCCUUGACGACCGAUAGUGCACAAGUACCGUGAGGGAAAGGUGAAAAGAACCCCUGUAGGGGAGUGAAAUAGAUCUGAAACCGUGGGCCUACAAGCGAUCGGAGCUCCAGCUUGCUGGAGUGACGGUGUGCCUAUUGAAGAAUGAGCCAGCGAGUUACUUCUGUGUGGCAAGGUUAAGGAAUAUAAACGUUCCGGAGCCGAAGCGAAAGCGAGUCUGAAUAGGGCGUUGAGUCGCACGGAGUAGACCCGAAACCAGGUGAGCUACCCAUGGCCAGGGUGAAGCUCGGAUAGUCUCCGAGUGGAGGCCCGAACCGGUGAAUGUUGCAAAAUUCUCGGAUGAGCUGUGGGUAGAGGUGAAAUGCCAAACGAACCUGGAGAUAGCUGGUUCUCCCCGAAAUGCAUUUAGGUGCAGCCUCUAGGGGGAGGAACGGAGGUAGGGCUCUGAAUGGGCUAGCGGGCGUGAGUCUAGCAAACCCAAUCAAACCACAAAUGCCGUUCUAUCCAUGCCUAGGGAGUGAGACUAUGGGGGAUAAGCUCCAUAGUCGAAAGGGAAACAGCCCAGACCGCCGAUUAAGGCCCCUAAAUAUAUGCUCAGUGUCAAAGGAAGUUAGAUCGCUCAGACAGCCAGGAGGUUGGCUUAGAAGCAGCCACCCUUUAAAGAGUGCGUAAUAGCUCACUGGUCGAGGGGUCUUGCGCCGACAAUUUAUCGGGGCUUAAGCAUGUUGCCGAAAUCGCGGCUUCUCGAGUAAUCGAGAGGGGUAGGGGAGCGUUCCCUGGGCGUCGAAGCUUCACCGUGAGGUGGGGUGGAGCGCAGGGAAGUGAGAAUGCUGGCAUGAGUAGCGUAAAGGUGUGUGAGAAUCACACCCGUCGAAAGUCUAAGGUUUCCUACGCAACGUUGGUCGUCGUAGGGUUAGCCGGUCCUAAGCCGAGGCCGAAGGGCGUAGGCGAUGGAUAACUGGUCAAUAUUCCAGUGCCACCUUUUUUUCGUUUUAAGGUUAAGGAGGGACACGGUAAGCUAGGUGAAGCGUGCCUAUUGGACAUGGUGCGUCCGAACUUGUAGGCCAUCCCGGGAUAGGAAAAUCCGUUCUGGGGCUAAGAGCUGAGGAGUGAGGCAACCCUAGGGUUAGCCCUAGGGAAGUUUGCUGAGGCUACACCGGCAAGAAAAACUUCGUAACUAGAAUCAGGGGUGUCCGUACCGCAAACCGACACUGGUGGACUGCCGUAAGCACGGUAAGACGGACGGGAGAAACUUCCUUAAGGAACUCGGCAAUCUAACUCCGUAACUUCGGGAUAAGGAGUGCCCUGGGGCGUGUAACUCUUCGCGAGUGAAGCGUUUCGGGGUCGCAGCAAAGAGGCCCUGGUGACUGUUCAUCACAAACACAGGUCCCUGCUUAAGUCGCAAGACGAUGUAUAGGGGCUGACGCCUGCCCAGUGCCGGAAGGUCAAGGGGAAUGGUGAGAGCUAUGAACCGAAGCCCCGGUGAACGGCGGCCGUAACUAUAACGGUCCUAAGGUACCGAAAUCCCUUGUCGGGUAAAUUCCGACCCGCAGGAAAGGCGUAACGACUUGGUCGCUGUCUCAACGAAGGACUCGGCGAAAUUGCAAGGCCCGUGAAGAUGCGGGUAUCCCGCGACAGGACAAAAAGACCCCGUGGAGCUUUACUGCAACUUGACAUUGGACCGGGGGCUGGGAUGUGUAGGAUAGGUGGGAGGCUAUGAAGUUUCGACGCCAGUCGAGAUGGAGCCGACGUUGAAAUACCACUCUUCUCUGUCUUUGGCUCUAACCCUGGAUAGGCCAGGGGACCGUGUCAGGCGGGCAGUUUGACUGGGGCGGUCGCCUCCUAAAAGGUAACGGAGGCGCCCAAAGGUUCCCUCAAGGUGGAUGGAAAUCACCUGCAGAGUGUAUUGGCAUAAGGGAGCUUGACUGCGAGACCUACAAGUCGAGCAGGGACGAAAGUCGGGCAAAGUGAUCCCACGGUACCGUGUGGAAGGGCCGUGGCUUAUCGGAUAAAAGCUACCCCGGGGAUAACAGACUAAUCUCCCCCAAGAGUUCACAUCGACGGGGAGGUUUGGCACCUCGAUGUCGGCUCGUCCCAU